GUAACGAACGGGGAGGCUAGCGUUGCUCGGAAUCACUGGGCGUAAAGGGUGCGUAGGCGGGUCUUUAAGUCAGGGGUGAAAUCCUGGAGCUCAACUCCAGAACUGCCUUUGAUACUGAGGAUCUUGAGUACGGGAGAGGUGAGUGGAACUGCGAGUGUAGAGGUGAAAUUCGUAGAUAUUCGCAAGAACACCAGUGGCGAAGGCGGCUCACUGGCCCGUAACUGACGCUGAGGCACGAAAGCGUGGGGAGCAAACAGG
rnacentral:rRNA from 1 species